GCACAGGUGAGUAAUGUAUCGGAACGUACCUUUCAGUGGGGGAUAACUAUCCGAAAGGAUAGCUAAUACCGCAUAUUCUGUGAGCAGGAAAGCAGGGGAUCUUCGGACCUUGCGCUGAUUGAGCGGCCGAUAUCAGAUUAGCUAGUUGGUGAGGUAAAGGCUCACCAAGGCGACGAUCUGUAGCGGGUCUGAGAGGAUGAUCCGCCACGCUGGAACUGAGACACGGUCCAGACUCCUACGGGAGGCAGCAGUGGGGAAUUUUGGACAAUGGGGGCAACCCUGAUCCAGCCAUGCCGCGUGAGUGAAGAAGGCCUUCGGGUUGUAAAGCUCUUUCGGCCGGGAAGAAAUCGCCUAGGUUAAUACCCUGUGCGGAUGACGGUACCGGCAUAAGAAGCACCGGCUAACUACGUGCCAGCAGCCGCGGUAAUACGUAGGGUGCGAGCGUUAAUCGGAAUUACUGGGCGUAAAGCGUGCGCAGGCGGUUUUGUAAGACAGGCGUGAAAUCCCCGGGCUCAACCUGGGAACUGCGCUUGUGACUGCAAGGCUAGAGUACGGCAGAGGGGGGUGGAAUUCCACGUGUAGCAAUGAAAUGCGUAGAGAUGUGGAGGAACACCAAUGGCGAAGGCAGCCCCCUGGGUCGAUACUGACGCUCAUGCACGAAAGCGUGGGUAGCAAACAGGAUUAGAUACCCUGGUAGUCCACGCCCUAAACGAUGUCAACUAGGUGUUGGGUGGGUAAAACCAUUUACUACCGGAGCUAACGCGUGAAGUUGACCGCCUGGGAGUACCGCCGCGAGGUUA
rnacentral:rRNA from 1 species